rnacentral:rRNA from 1 species
AGUGAACGCUGGCGGUAGGCCUAACACAUGCAAGUCGAACGGCAGCACAGUAAGAGCUUGCUCUUACGGGUGGCGAGUGGCGGACGGGUGAGGAAUACAUCGGAAUCUACUUUUUCGUGGGGGAUAACGUAGGGAAACUUACGCUAAUACCGCAUACGACCUACGGGUGAAAGCAGGGGAUCUUCGGACCUUGCGCGAUUGAAUGAGCCGAUGUCGGAUUAGCUAGUUGGCGGGGUAAAGGCCCACCAAGGCGACGAUCCGUAGCUGGUCCGAGAGGAUGAUCAGCCACACUGGAACUGAGACACGGUCCAGACUCCUACGGGAGGCAGCAGUGGGGAAUAUUGGACAAUGGGCGCAAGCCUGAUCCAGCCAUACCGCGUGGGUGAAGAAGGCCUUCGGGUUGUAAAGCCCUUUUGUUGGGAAAGAAAAGCAGCAGGUUAAUACCCCGCUGUUCUGACGGUACCCAAAGAAUAAGCACCGGCUAACUUCGUGC